CAUCAAGCAUGUUCAAGGCUGGCCUGCAGAACAUGUGGAGAAGCAGGUGUCUCGGUUGCGUGAGGAUAUCCACAACAUGGGAACCCUGUAUAUGUCCGAGAUCUGCACCGAGCUCAAGAAUCUUCGCUCUUUAGUGCGAGUGUGUGAAAUCCAAGCCACGCUGAGAGAGCAGAGGAUCCUGUUUCUGAGACAGCAGAUCAAAGAACUCGACAAGCUGAAGAAUCAGAACUCGUUCAUGGUUUGAGAGCCGGUCGUGGAGCUCACGGCAAGUCUCUCUCCGAACCAGCCGCGUUCGGACCCCGGCUCUCAGCCCCCCCGAGCUCUCAGAUCCGCAGCCCCCAACGGCAGGCUGCAAUUCCAGCAACGGGAACCGAGAGGAAAAGGAAGCUCACAAAAAAGGCCAAUUAAUUUCGCUCUCCUUCGAUGUACAUGGCUUCUCUAUUCUUAAGAUCCACAGGCAAUUAAAGAGAGUUCUCGAACCCGUGAUGGAAACAUGCAGUGGAUCUGCUGGUCCAUAUACUGCUUCUUUAAGGUUAUGCCUGUGAUUUUUCUGUCACACUGGAGACUUAAUAUUCCCCCUUAACUCCAGUGAUUGACAGGAAUAUGAAUGAAGGGCUAUCUGUGCACAAGGGACGCUUCUGGAUGCGCUGGUAUUUAAUAAAGUGACCAACUUAAAAUAAACCCAAUACACACCCAUUCAAUCGAGUUGGGCAUUCCUUGGAAAACAGGAAUGUAAAGGGGAUCUUCCUUAAUUGACGGUGGGUGCCGACGAUUUCUCACAUUACUGACGUGGCACUUAAAAGCUUUCGUCGAAGCGGUAGAUGCACAUUUUGAGUUUUGCGACGCCCCCGAUUAAAAGGGUUUCGUCACUUUCUGCCUUCGAUGUUUCUCGUUCUUCGCAGUGCUGUUACACAUCUAACUGAGAUUACUUUUCAUGCUGCACUCUUUGACGCUCUUUGUUUUUGUACUAAUGUCGUUUUUUGAUUCGUUCGUAACCGUUCACUUCUUACUCAUAGCAUUGAUUUCAGUCAUUCCCGUCUUUGCGCAGCACAGGAGGAUGAAAGAAGUGUUGAAAUAAGUGCACUAAGCAGAGAAGACCUUGAGGACAGUCCAUGCCAGGGUAUGCAUUUCUUUCUUUUUACAUGAAAAUACAUCAACCAGUCUUUAAAACUGAACUGUAAGCAUUUAGUCAACUUGUCAGUUUGUGUUUGGCGAGUAUAUGGAGGAAAUAUUAAAAAAAAAGGCAGAUUUGGUGAUUCCUCUUUGAUGUUUGCAAUGUCAUUCAUAGGUUUUUGCUCCAUUCUUUCUGGCUUCACUGCCCUUUCACGCAGGGCUUUCGAACUUAGACCAAUUUUAAUGCUAUAGACUGUAAAUGGAGUUCACUUUCAGACUAGAGAUGAUGAUGGGUAUGAUGCUUUGUAUAUGGUUUCUAAAGGCUACAUGAAAUAAACAAUUACCACAUUA